GCGAUUUUAUACGGCCGAAGCGGUCGUUUAGGUGUUACGAAAGUGGAAAUGGUGCGUCGUGGAAUUGCACUGAAAUCAUCCCCACAUAUCUCCUCCCGCCUCUAAUAGCUUCUGGUUCUUUCCGUUCUCAUAUAUCUAGCAGAUCCACUACCUAUCUACCAUGACGCCAAGUAGUGACGGUACUGUCCGUCGUACUUAUUGCUCUCUAUUUUUAGAACAUGACGAAUGAAUUGUAGUUAUCUAUUAUUGUAUCCCUCCUAAUUCUAAUUAAUGUAUUCAACUAUUAGAAUGUAUUGAAAAAAUCGCUUAUUUUUCUGUUUGUAAGUUAAAUUUUCCUAUAUCAC